AUCGGGGAUCUGGUUCGGCGAGAUGAAGUGCACGUGCGAGUCGAUCGCGCCGGCCGUGAGAAUGUGUCCUUCGCCGGCGAGCACCUCGGUCGACGCGCUGAUCUCGAGGCCCGGCGUGACGCCGUCCAUCACCCCCGGAUUGCCGGACUUGCCGAUCGCGGAGAUGCGGCCAUCGCGCACGCCGACGUCUGCUUUGCGAAUACCGGACGCGUCGACGAUGACGGCGUUCGUGAUGACGAGGUCGGGCGAUCCGUGGUCGCGGCUCGCGCUGGGCGAUUGGCCCAUGCCGUCUCGGAU
rfam:Acidobacteria bacterium 13_1_40CM_65_14 13_1_40cm_scaffold_12343, whole genome shotgun sequence.